rnacentral:lncRNA from 1 species
CCUUGGAUAUGUAGGUUAGCCCCUGGUAAAUUUGGUUGCUAUAUAAAUCCAUGUUUAGGUGUUGUUUGCUUGUUGCCUAUAUGUUAGAAAAUAGUGCUGAUUUGGAGAUGCUGAAAUAUUUUGUUGUUGUCUUGCCAUGAGUUUUGCUAGUGAUCUACAACUCCUUUGAGGUUGGUGCAAUGGAGUUAUUUGUAGUCGUUAAGAU